CCUACGGGAGGCAGCAGUGAGGAAUAUUGGUCAAUGGCCGGAAGCCUGAACCAGCCAAGCCGCGUGAGGGACGACGGUCCUAUGCAUUGUAAACUUCUUUUGUCGGGGGACAAAGGCAUCCACGGGAGCGUGGACGAGGGUACCUGAAGAAAAAGCAUCGGCUAACUCCGUGCCAGCAGCCGCGGUAAUACGGAGGAUGCGAGCGUUAUCCGGAUUUAUUGGGUUUAAAGGGUGCGUAGGCGGACGGUCAAGUCAGCGGUAAAAAUGCGGGGCUCAACCCCGUAGAGCCGUUGAAACUGGCAGUCUUGAGUGGGCGAGAGGUAUGCGGAAUGCGUGGUGUAGCGGUGAAAUGCUUAGAUAUCACGCAGAACUCCGAUUGCGAAGGCAGCAUACCGGCGGCGAACUGACGCUGAGGCACGAAAGCGUGGGUAUCGAACAGGAUUAGAUACCCUUGUAGUC
rnacentral:rRNA from 1 species